ensembl:lncRNA
AUAUGUGGUAAUGGAACAGGGAGGGGUUAGACAGUGUUUAAGGAUAUAUGUGGUAAUGGAUCAGGGAGGGGUUAGACAGUGUUUAAGGAUAUAUGUGGUAAUGGAACAGGGAGGGGUUAGACAGUGUUUAAGGAUAUAUGUGGUAAUGGAUCAGGGAGGGGUUAGACAGUGUUUAAGGAUAUAUGUGGUAAUGGAUCAGGGAGGGGUUAGACAGUGUUUAAGGAUAUAUGUGGUAAUGGAACAGGGAGGGGUUAGACAGUGUUUAAGGAUAUAUGUGGUAAUGGAUCAGGGAGGGGUUAGACAGUGUUUAAGGAUAUAUGUGGUAAUGGAUCAGGGAGGGGUUAGACAGUGUUUAAGGAUAUAUGUGGUAAUGGAACAGGGAGGGGUUAGACAGUGUUUAAGGAUAUAUGUGGUAAUGGAUCAGGUAGGGGUUAGACAGUGUUUAAGGAUAUAUGUGGUAAUGGAUCAGGGAGGGGUUAGACAGUGUUUAAGGAUAUAUGUGGUAAUGGAACAGGGAGGGGUUAGACAGUGUUUAAGGAUAUAUGUGGUAAUGGAUCAGGGAGGGGUUAGGGGGCGUCUUGCUCUAUAGGAUAAA